UACAGAGGGGGCAAGCGUUAUUCGGAUUUAUUGGGUGUAAAGGGCGCGUAGGCAGUUUCUUAAGUCAGAGGUGAAAUACCCGAGCUUAACUUGGGAACUGCAUCUGAGACUGGGAGUCUUGAGUACGGAAGAGGGAGGCGGAAUUCCUGGUGUAGCGGUGAAAUGCGUAGAGAUCUGGAGGAACACCAGGGGCGAAGGCGGUCAUUUGGACCGCUACUGACGCUGAGGCACGAAAGCGUGGGGAGCAAACAGG
rnacentral:rRNA from 1 species